GAGGGUGUAGCUCAGUGGUAGAGCACAUGCCUAGCAUGCACAAGGUCCUGGGUUCAAUCCCCAGUGUCUCUA
rnacentral:tRNA from 1 species